rnacentral:lncRNA from 1 species
UAAACAACAGUUAAUAUUGGUGAGUACCUAAACGGGAGUGAACUGAAUAUAUGAACGUGGAGUUUCAUCAAUAUACAACUCGUUGCAUAGUGAGCUUCACUUAAGGUGCAUAAUUCAAUUGUUGUGACGUGUCAUGCCUUGCAUAAUUAAACCGGACAUGCAUCAUAUGUGUUUGUGCAUCAUGUCAUGUAUAUGUUGUGGUGAAUAUCGUUUGUUGAUUCUUGUUUCCGGAUUGCUUCUUCUCAAUAGAGUUCCGCAAGCAUG